rnacentral:rRNA from 1 species
UGGGGGAUAUUGCACAAUGGGCGAAAGCCUGAUGCAGCGACGCCGCGUGGGGGAUGAAGGCCUUCGGGUUGUAAACUUCUUUUGCUCUGAACAAGGCGCACCAUGGGGUGUGUUGAGUGUAGGGGUUGAUUAGCGCCGGCUAACUACGUGCCAGCAGCCGCGGUAAUACGUAGGGCGCGAGCGUUGUCCGGAAUUAUUGGGCGUAAAGGGCUUGUAGGUGGCUGGUUGCGUCUGUCGUGAAAGCUCAUGGCUUAACUGUGGGUUUGCGGUGGGUACGGGCUGGCUUGAGUGCAGUAGUGGAGGAUGGAAGUCCUGGUGUAGCGGUGGAAUGCGCAGAUGUCAGGAGGAAUACCGGUGGCGAAGGCGGGUCUCUGGGCUGUUACUGACACUGAGGAGCGAAAGCAUGGGGAGCGAACAGG